CGUACACGGUGGAUGCCCUGGCAGUCAGAGGCGAUGAAGGACGUGCUAAUCUGCGAUAAGCGCCGGUAAGGUGAUAUGAACCGUUAUAACCGGCGAUUUCCGAAUGGGGAAACCCAGUGUGACUCGUCACACUAUCAUUAACUGAAUCCAUAGGUUAAUGAGGCGAACCGGGGGAACUGAAACAUCUAAGUACCCCGAGGAAAAGAAAUCAACCGAGAUUCCCCCAGUAGCGGCGAGCGAACGGGGAGGAGCCCAGAGCCUGAAUCAGCAUGUGUGUUAGUGGAAGCGUCUGGAAAGGCGCGCGAUACAGGGUGACAGCCCCGUACACAAAAGCGCAUGUGCUGUGAGCUCGAUGAGUAGGGCGGGACACGUGGUAUCCUGUCUGAAUAUGGGGGGACCAUCCUCCAAGGCUAAAUACUCCUGACUGACCGAUAGUGAACCAGUACCGUGAGGGAAAGGCGAAAAGAACCCCGGCGAGGGGAGUGAAAAAGAACCUGAAACCGUGUACGUACAAGCAGUGGGAGC
rnacentral:rRNA from 1 species